rnacentral:rRNA from 1 species
CACGGGGGGAGCAAGCGUUGUUCGGAAUCACUGGGCGUAAAGGGCGUGUAGGCGGUCAGGUAAGUGGGAUGUGAAAUGCCCCGGCUCACCCGGGGACCGGCAUCCCAUACUGCUUGGCUUGAGUACGGGAGAGGAUGUGGGAAUUCCCGGUGUAGUGGUGAAAUGCGUAGAUAUCGGGAGGAACACCAGUGGCGAAGGCGACUUCCUGGCCUGUUCUUGACGCUGAGGCGCGAAAGCUAGGGGAGCAAACGGG